UAUAAAUGUAUGGGAAGAGGGAGCC
rnacentral:piRNA from 1 species